rnacentral:rRNA from 1 species
AUUGAACGCUGGCGGCGUGCCUAACACAUGCAAGUCGAGCGGUAACAGGUGUAGCAAUACAUGCUGACGAGCGGCGAACGGGUGAGUAAUGCUUCGGAAUCUACCCAAUGGUGGGGAAUAACCAGCCGAAAGGUUGGCUAAUACCGCAUACGUCCCACGGGAGAAAGCAGGGGAUCGCAAGACCUUGCGCCAAUGGAUGAGCCGAAGUCGGAUUAGCUAGUUGGAGGGUAACGGCCUACCAAGGCGACGAUCCGUAGCUGGUCUGAGAGGACGACCAGCCACACUGGGACUGAGACACGGGCCCAGACUCCUACGGGAGGCAGCAGUGGGGAAUAUUGGACAAUGGGGGAAACCCUGAUCCAGCGACGCCGCGUGUGUGAAGAAGGCCUGCGGGGUUGUAAAGCACUUUUAGUGGGGAUGAAAUGUUCAGGGUUAACACCUCUGGAUUUUGACCUAACCACAGAAAAGCACCGGCUAACUCUGUGCCAGCCGCC